ensembl:lncRNA
GUUUAUUGGCCCAUAAACGUAAUUCAGGGUGAGGAACUAACUAACAUCAAAUUAAAAAAGUGAAAUUCUCCUUUAAUGGUCUUGGGUUAAUGAGUGAAGUUUUUUGUCAGGCCAGUGAAGUUCGGAAAAAGAAAAGCUGCUCAGCAGGGAAGCCAAUAACUCCUUGGCACCCCUCCUCUCAUUCCUCAGUUUGAUCAUAGGUCUAAAAGACUAUAGACAGAAGACAAUGAAGAGGAAUAUGAAGCACCUGCAAUACUAUCAAUUUCUAUUCUGCUACCUUCUGCUGACUAUCAAAGAUCAUGCACUCUGUGUCAAAGAAAUCACAAUUACUCCGGCUGAACCACAUGUCAAGCUGGGAGAUGCUGUGACCCUAACCUGUGAAACAACCUGUGAAGGCAAACCACAGUGGAAGCAACUAGACGACAGUGAUGCUGAAAUCACUUUCGAUGGGAAAAAAAGUUUUCUAAAGAUUGCAGCUGUACAGCUGGAUCACCAACAAACAUAUACCUGCACUGUGGCCAAAUGUCUUACACGGAAGAAGGAAUCAGUCAAGCUCAUCGUUGACAGUCUUUCCACAGAAGGAGUAGAUGUUGAGGUCAUUAGCAUUACGAAAAAAGAUACCAGAGUUACCCCAGAUCCUUUAAAAACAACAGUUAAGGCUGAUGUACUUCCAGUUCACACCACAGAAAACCCAACAGAGAUGUUGCCAACAACGACAUGGCCCGCUACUAUUAAUGCACUUAAGGAAAAAGGAAUAGAUGUUGAGGUCAGUAGCAUUACAAAAAAGCUACCAGAGGUUGCGUCCACAUCAUUUCUCCCUACCAAAACAAGAGAUCCACAAGUGGAAGAUCCUUCAAAAACAACAAUCAAGACUGAUAUAUUUCCAGUUCACACCACAGAAAAUCUAACAAAAAUGUUGCCAACAACAUUACUGCCCACCACUAUUAAUCAUCUAAAAGACAGUCUUUCCACAGAAGGAAUAGAUGUUGAGGUCAGUAGCAUUACAAAAAAGCUACCAGAGGUUGCGUCCACAUCAUUUCUCCCUGCCAAAACAAGAGAUCCACAAGUGGAAGAUCCUUCAAAAACAACAAUCAAGACUGAUAUAUUUCCAGUUCACACCACAGAAAAUCUAACAAAAAUGUUGCCAACAACAUUACUGCCCACCACUAUUAAUCAUCUAAAAGACAGUCUUUCCACAGAAGGAAUAGAUGUUGAGGUCAGUAGCAUUACAAAAAAGCUACCAGAGGUUGCGUCCACAUCAUUUCUCCCUACCAAAACAAGAGAUCCACAAGUAGAAGCAGGGGCAGCUUCCAGCUCCACUAUAAUGGCCAUGGCUGUAGUGGGCUCAGUGGCAACUCUCUCAUUCCUGGGAUUCUUGAUUCACCUGAUCCGCCGGAAGAAACGCAAGUUGUCCCCUAAUGACAUGUAGAACCACCUGGAUGACUGCUGACCAAAAUUGCAUCAGCUUCAUCUCAUUUCAAGCUUUUUUUGUCCAAUAUAUUUAAUGCUAUUAUAACACUCCUUCAUACAGCUUUCCCUGCAUCAGCUUAAACCUAAUAUAAUACACUGAUCAAAAAAAUUUAAGGAACACUUAAAUCAUACAUCGGGUCUCGAUGAACGACAUAUGUUAAAGAUCAUAACCUUUACUGUACAUUGUGUAAUUAUCACGGUCGUAGGUAUGCAUGAUAUGUGGCGCAGAGCGAGUAAAGGGAAACAUCCUUUUAUUAUAACGCAAAAAAUAACAAAAGGAGAGGCAAACCUAACACAAACAAUGAUCCACAAGUGAAAAGUCCAAAAGGGAAACUUAAAUAGGGUCCCCAAUUAGAGGCAACAUGCGGCAGCUGCUGCCUCUCAAUCACCAACCGAUUGAGGGCUGGAUUCAAACUGAAAAUCAAAGUAAACAACUAAAAUCACAGGCUGUUCCAACUUAAUGUGACUCAUAAUGUGACCCAGUAGUGUGUGCCUGUAUGCAAUGCCGACAAUGUCUGGGCGUGCUCCUGAUGAGAUGGCGGAUGGUGUCCUUGGUGAUCUCCUCCCAGACCUGGAUCAGGGCAUCAGUGAACUCCUGGACAGUCUGUGGCACUACUUGAUAGGAUUCAGGUCUGGGAUUCAGGUCUGAGAACGUGAAACCGGUAAUGCUAGAUGAUGUUGUAAGCAACGUUCACCACAGCGUCUCCAGACUCUUUCAUGUCUGUCACGUGCUCAAUUUGAACCUGUGCUCAUCUGGGAAAAGAAUGUAACGCCAAUGGCGGACCUGCCAAUUCUGGUGUUCUCUAGUGAAUGCCAAUCGAACUGCAUGGUGCUGGGCUGUGAGCAUAGGUCCCACUAGAGGACGUCAGACCCUCAAGCCACCCUCAUGGAGUCUGUUUCUGACAAUUUGGUCAGAAAUAUGCACACAUUAGCCUGCUGGAAGUCUGGCUCUGGCAGUGCUCCUCCUGUUCCUCCUCACACAAAGGAGCAGGUACCGGUCCUGCUGCUGGUUUGAUGCUCUUCUAUGGCCCUGUACAGCUCUCCCCGUGUAACGGCUCGUCUCCUGGUAUCUCCUCCAUGUUCUUGAGACUGUACUGUGAGACACAGCAAACCUUCUUGCGACGGCACGUAUGGAUUUGCUAUUCUGGAAGAGCUGGACUGCCUGUGCAACCCGAGUGGGCUGUAGGUACCGCCACAUGCUACCAGUAGUGACAACCACACUAGCAAAAUGCAAAAAUAAAGAAGAAUCAGUCAGGAAGGAUAAGGAGAGAGCAAUUGUCUGUUGCCACCACCUGCAAACCAUUCCCUUUUUGGGGGUUGUCUAGCCGUUGCCUCUCCAGUAAACCUGUUGUCUCUUUCAUUUGCACCAAUGCAGUGACAUUGAUUCACAAUUGAUAUCCCUCAAAUUCACUUGGUGUUAUACUGUGAUGAUUGUGUUCCCUUAAUUUUUUAGCAGUGUAUUUGCUAUGGUACUACCUGAUAAAAUUAAGGACAAUGUACAAAGAAUGACACCCAAGAAGAACAGUCUAAUUUGGAAAAAAAUAUGUAACUAACAUGAAGUUUGAUUAAUAUCAUAUCCAUAUAAAAAGAAAAAUAUAGCAACAUUUUUGAUUUCCUGAGGUUUAUUUUAAAUAGACAUUCCUGUUUAGGUAUUUCUGUUGUGAUGUUAACUUUUUUUAUACAUUUCAUUAUACACCGAUGCAGGAGCGUCACCAGACCUGGGCUUUCAUUUAAUUCUACAUGUUAUAUUUUUAAGUGGAACAUUAUAUCAAAUAGACAUGACUAAAUGGCAUCUGUAGCAACAUUACCAUGAAAAAGCCUAAAUAAGUUAAUAAAGCAUGUGAAUUUAAACACAAACAGUAAUUUCUACUACUACUUGUUUUCUUUUGUUUUUUGCAUACACUGUGGUAUAAGCGGGACAGACCUUUUUCUGUAACAUCACCUUGGCAAAAAUGAACUCCUUCCAUUCCAUUGUCUGAUGCAACUAGAAUCCUGCAGGAAUGUCAUCUGUUGUGAAGGAAUCAUGCAGGUGUCCUGCAGGAAUCCUGAAGGAUUGACCUUGAUGAGAGAUUAUCCUGCAGAAAUCCAGAGAAUAUUGCACAACCCUGAAAAUUCAUGCAGGAAUCAAAAUCCUGCAGACUUCUAAAUUCCUGCAGGAUAUGACGAUCCCUGCAGGAAUAAAAAUUCCUGAAAAUGAAUAUUCUAGCAUGAAUCACACUGUAUAUUUUAAUAAACAAGCUGGAUAUGGCAAUUCCUGCUGGACUAAAACCGUCAGGAUUUAGAUUUUCCUGCAGGACAUGUGAAAAUGUGAAUUCCUGACAAUUUCUGUCAUCUGCUCAUACUAGUCAUGUAAUAUUAAGUAUUUAAUAUCUUGCAGGUGGAUUUCAGUCACACUAAGUAGAAGCAAUAGAUUCUGGGCUAGUAUUUUUUAUUGUCUCACUCAGAAUUUGAAACAAGCACAAGAUACUUUUAGAAAACGUUUUAAAAACAGCCAUGUAACAAUACAUGAUGUAAUAACACCGCAUUAUGUAAUAACUUGACCAAAUGUAAUACAUUUUCAAUUCAUUUUGUAAUAACACCCACAUUUUUACUAAUCUGCUUCAUUUGUAAUAAUCAGCUUGAAAGCAAUUUGUACUAAAUGUCCCCGCAUUUUGUAACAAAUUAUUACAUUAUGUGGUGAUUAUUACAAAAUGUGGGAGUUGGACUUAUAAAAAAUGAAAAUGUAAUUAUAUAGUGCAUUAUGUAAUACCCAGCCAAAUUGGAUGUCUUCAUUCAUGAAAAUCGUAAUAACAUAAACAACAAUGUUUACUUUAUGCAUACUAGCAUGAAUCCUUCAUUUGAAAAGAUACUGCCUAUCACCUGAAGUAUUGUAUCUUUCAUUGAUCAAAACUACAUCAAGUGUCACUGCAUUCCUUAGCUUAAUAGAAACUGUACUUCACAGCAUUGUACUUCAGAGGGUUCAACUGCACAACACUCAAGUGUUAUACUGACACAAACAAAGUAUUGGUAUAAACACAAAUGUCAGCAAAUGUUGGCUAUACAUGAAAAGUCAAAAAAUUGUUGCUCAACAAGACCAAUAUGGAACAGUCCUUUAUUCCCUGAAUCCCCAAUUACGGUAUAUUUAGGCAAAGAAUAUGUACCACACUGCAAAGACGUUCCUAGACGUUCCUAGCACUUAUUUUAACCCCCCCUAAAUAAUUUCACUAUGUGAAGAAAAUGGACGUGAAGCAUGAGAGCAUGUGAAAAGUUUUAAUUCUGCAAGUCUCACGGAGACAAUGCAUGAGAGUUGACGACCCUGAUGAUCACUUGGUACAUUUAUGUAGGACUUUCUAACAGGUCUGGGCCCGGUUUCCCAAAGCAGUAAGUGACUUGUUAUGUUAUCAGUGCGUUUCCCGAAAGCAUCAUUACUUAGUAGGCACAUAAUAUAGUCAUUCAUUAAUGAGUGCUCUGGACCACUCGUUGGUCCAUCGUAACAGGCACUUAACUGUUUUUGUGAAAUAGCGCCUCCCUCAACAUGCGAGGAGUGAUUGCAAACUAUUAAUAUUGUAGCGAACCACAUGGGCUGAAGGCAUAGUGACUGAAUGUGCCCUAUUGAGUUCUAGGUUUAUUGAGUUGUUACGGUAAUCAGAAGGGGG